rnacentral:tRNA from 1 species
GUGUGGCUCAGUGGUAGAGUGCUUGCCUGGCAUGCAUGAGGCCCUGGGUUCGAUCCUAGCAC